ACUCUCUUCCUCUAGCUUGGUCGAAACCCUCACUCUCACUCUCACACUCAUUAAUAAGUUCAUCUUUAGUUCAUCAACACACUCAUCCAACUAAGUUUGGCAGCCUAAUAACCUUCUACAACUUCAAGCUGAGGUCAAAACUUGGAUGCAAAGGGUAGGAUUUGAAGAAGGCUUGUGAAGACCCUUUUGAGGAGGAAGAAGAAGAGAUUGAGUUUUUGGCUGAAACAUCUGAUGUUGUUGAGGGUGAAGAUGAGGGCAUUGACUUUGACUUUGAUUAUUUGUUAUUUUUCUUACUGGUUUGCUCUUCCAGUCUCUCAAUCAUCUAAGAAUGUGGUGCAGUUCACUUCACAUCAACAAAUAAUAAUGACCGCGGAGUUGGAGAUUUCGAUAUGGAGAGAUUUCAACUUUUCGAGUCUUUCUUCUUUCCUUGGACAGUGACUGUGAGACUUAAGUCUCUUGCAUUGUGUCUAAAUCCCCUGCUGCAACAGCGACGGAGCUAGACUUUGGGAAGAAGUGGGGCUUUCAAUAGAUUUAGAGUUUUAGUGAGGGCUUUUAUGUUAUUUUCUUUAGUUAUGUUAAAGUAUUUAAUUAAAAUUUCAAAUAAAAAUUUUUUUUGAGGUGGGGCUUGAGCCUUCACAUUGGCCUUACUACCCUCGUCCCUGGCUGCAAUAAUUUCUUGCCUCCCACCAACAACUAACUUGAAAAUAUAAUAUUCUUGCUAAACUUUUAAGUUUGGAAGAACUAGUGUUGUAAGUGAAAACUUUGAGGGGGUUUUUUACUACAAUGGUCACCAUGUUUGACUAAUGUGGUUGGACGACAUAAAACCGCAGUUUUGUAGUAGUGAGUGACCCUUGCAAUAUGCCUAGAGUCCUUUUGCUUAACUCCUGUGUUGUGUCUUUAUUUGCAGCAUACUAGUUCGAUUCGAGUCCUGAUGGUAAGCUUCGUGUAGUUGUUGGCGACAAUCAGCAGGGUAUGUUAGUGGACUCCCAAACU